GACGAACCGUGCGAACGUUAUUCGGAAUCACUGGGCUUAAAGCGCGUGUAGGCGGGCCGGCACGUCGGUCGCUGAAAUCCCACGGCUCAACCGUGGAACUGCCUCAGAUACUGACGGCCUCGAGGGAGAUAGGGGCAUGCGGAACUGUAGGUGGAGCGGUGAAAUGCGUUGAUAUCUACAGGAACUCCGGUGGCGAAGGCGGCGUGCUGGAUCUCUUCUGACGCUGAGGCGCGAAAGCUAGGGGAGCAAACGGG
rnacentral:rRNA from 1 species